AUGGAAGGAGAAGAAAACCAGGUGUGGAACAGGAGCACCACUGAGCUGGGGAGUCUGAAGCUCCCGCUGCCUGCAGCGCAGCUGGAGAAACGAUGCUGUGUUCAAGCACAGUUCUUUAUCCAGACACAAAACAUCACAGAAGAUGUGAGCAACAUUACGUGCAUCAGAACCCCUAGCUCUUUGUACCACUCGUUACACCUUGAAGGAUUUUUGGCACUGCUGAGCAUUAUGGUGAUGUUGCUGUUCACUUGGUGCAGUUACCGUGGAUUCAGGUUCCUCUAUCCCAAUGCUAGGCUACCUGAACAUUUCAAACAGUACAUGCUGGAAUCUCCGGGCAUGGCACUCCCUUUGGUGUUUCAGAGCCAUGAGGUGACAGAGGUACAUUAUGAUCGCGUCAGUGCUGUACUGCAGGUGAAGCCUAAAGACGCAUGCCAUGGAUCACAGGAACCUGAAAACGACAAGCUAGUGAGACAAAGCUAUUAUAACGUUUUGUCUUAAGCUCAGCCUUUGUUGAGAUGAAUCUGAUUGCUGGUUACCAGGCUUUCUGUGUGCCUCACUGUGAGUGAUGACAACAUUUGUUUUUUUAAGUCAUUGGUUAAUAUAAAUGAAUGCAUGUUGUAAAAUAAAGACCAAGAUGAUUUACUAAAAUUUAAUUUU
rnacentral:lncRNA from 1 species